CUCUUCUUGAUAAUUAAUAUGAAGUACAACCUGCCCAAUGAAUUUAAAAAUUUAAAUGGCCGCGGUAAUUUGACCGUGCAAAGGUAGCAUAAUCAUUAGUCUUUUAAUUGAGGGCUGGAAUGAAUGGUUUGACAAAAUAAAAACUUUCUUAAAAUUAAAAGUAGAAUUUAAUUUUUGGGUAAAAAAGCUUAAAUUUAUUUUUGGGACGAGAAGACCCUAUAGAGUUGAAUAUUAAAAAUUAUUUGUUUUUGUUGGAAAUGUUUUUAAUUAUUAUUUUUAUUUUGUUGGGGUGACAAGAAGAUAAGUGAACUCUUUUUAUUAUUUUAUAUUGAUUUAUGAAUGCUUGAUCCAUUAUUAUUGAUUAAAAGACUAAAUUACC
rnacentral:rRNA from 1 species